AAAUUUAAAAUGAGGAUGCUGACAGUAACUAGUUCUUUACUGCAGACAGUUUGAGAAGCGCUGGUUUAGAGGAUCCUGUGUAAAGUGAUUACGAAUAUCAUCCAUAUAUGGUCAAAGAUAUCUUCAUCCCUUGUUUAAAACUUAGAAGGGACGCAAUUUCUGUGGACUUGAGGUGGAGAAAGAUGGGGUUCCUUUUUGCUGUUUACUGCCUUGCUUUUCUUUCACCUGUGCAUUUCCAGAGCAAAGUACAGGCUGAUAAUUCCAAAGGCUGUUUAAGGGGUAAUUGUGGCUGACAGAGCAGCAUUCACGGAACAUCACUACUGUGCUUGGCUGGAACAGUGUCACUGUGUCUGAAAGUCUUGAUAAUGUUCAGUUGACUGUACUAAUUGUCCUGUUUUAUGCAUGGCUAGCCAAGUGGUAACCAAGAGUUUUAAACAAUGGAUCUUUAUUAAGGUAUUAAUUUUUGUCAAGGAAACUGACGUGAUUUGAAAGAAUGUUUACUGUGUGCGACACGUGUGGAAGAAGUUGUUUGUG
rnacentral:lncRNA from 1 species